rnacentral:misc_RNA from 1 species
CUUCCUUUCUUUCUUUCUUUUCCUAUUUUUUUCCUCCUCUCCUCUUUCCCGAUUCUGCUAUCCUCUUCUUCUCUUUUAUAUAUUUAUUUGUUUAUAGAAACUGCUGGAGAAACCAGCUCAUGUGGAUGUGCAGUUGCUGUCCACUUUUAUCCCUUAAGCAAUUUUGUUAAGUUGUGAUUGGUGGAGAGCUCCCUAAUGACAUCAUGUGAUAUCAUAAUUCCACUUUUUUUUAUUUUCUUUUCUUUUCUUUACUACUCAUU